UAGGGAAUCUUCCACAAUGGGCGCAAGCCUGAUGUAGCAACACCGCGUGAGUGAAGAAGGGUUUCGGCUCGUAAAGCUCUGUUGUUGGAGAAGAACGUGCGUGAGAGUAACUGUUCACGCAGUGACGGUAUCCAACCAGAAAGUCACGGCUAACUACGUGCC
rnacentral:rRNA from 1 species